rnacentral:rRNA from 1 species
UACAGAGGUCUCAAGCGUUGUUCGGAUUUAUUGGGCGUAAAGGGUGCGCAGGCCGCAUGGUAAGUUUGGUGUGAAAUCCUGGGGCUUAACCCCAGAAUUGCACUGAAUACUGCCGUGCUAGAGGACUGGAGAGGAGAUUGGAAUUUACGGUGUAGCAGUGAAAUGCGUAGAUAUCGUGAGGAAGACCAGUGGCGAAGGCGGGUCUCUGGACAGUUCCUGACGCUGAGGCACGAAGGCCAGGGGAGCAAACGGG